GUCCCUGGGAUCGUCAGGUCAGGCCUUGGGCUAACGUAGGCACUCGCAGUUCCUCCGCCUUCAGGAAGGUCUUUUUAGCAGGGGCCUUACGGGUGCGCGCUUCGGUCCUGGAGGCCUUAUCCUAGCCUCCUCUCUCCAUCAGCGCCACCCGUCUGGGGCCCAAAAGGAGGGAGCUUUACCUCUGUCCCCCAGCCUUUGGAGUGUCACCAAACAAGCCAUUCGUUCACCAAAUACUUAUUAAGUGCCUGACAACGGAGAUGUAACGGUAGAAGUUGCUGGUCCCAUCUUGCUCACAAUCCUCCAAAGUUUGGAAGUUACUUUCCAGGAGACUUAGCUUGCACUGAGAGCUGCCCUCCCACCCUCUCUCCAAAUUUCCUCUUGGGAGUAGCCUAACAAGGUGCUGUCACAGACCCUUGCCAGCCACGAUGACCCCACCCAGACCAUCCCUCUGCUGUUUCACUCUUUGAUACUCUCUGGAGCUCUCUGGGGAGGGGUGAGACCUGCUGUCUGCUUUGUACUGUUUGCCCAGGUCUUACAGUCAUGGCUGGCUCCUCUCUCUGAGAACUGGGACUCCUGAACUUGGUGAAAUACCUCAGCCAUCGAUCAUGUUAAAUUAUCGGGGACACUCAUUAAAAAUGUGAGUCUGCUCCAGAUGGACUCUCUCUCUUUCUGCCCUGACCGUGAGGGAGACCGUGAGAGAGAGAGACCGUGAGAGAGAGAAACCGUGAGAGAGACCAUCAGAGAGAGAAAGAGAGACCGUGCCCUGACCUGCUGGACAGUGGAGAUGCUUGUGGGCUGUGAGCAACAGAUGCAAGGGCUGCCGGGAAUCCCAUCUUUCCAGCAUCAUCUGCCAAGGCACAUCAGUUCCUGGGUGUCUUGAUGGGUUCUGGCAGCAUUACUGUCAUUGAAGGAAAACAUUUUAGCCAUAUUAAAGGUGAACUCAGCAAUCCCCACACAGCCUGCCUGGAAGGGACGCGGGACAAGGGUAGGUUCUCCCUGUGAUGGACAGGAGGCAGGCGACCCUCCCACAGCCCUACCUGGCAAUGCAGAUGUGUCCCCAAAAGGCACUGGGGGCAGCUGGAGUGCUGUGCCUAGGCGGGCUCACCCGGGCAGCGGUUCGCUCUGAUUGCAGUGGUUUCCCACCAGCUCCUUGGAGAGCUGGCAGAUGACCCAGCCCCACAGCAGGAGCCGGGAAUGGCAGAACGAGAUACAACAAUUUGAUAUCCACUUGCCAGAUGAGCCGGGUGUCCUCAGUCGCCUGGCUCUGUGCCCAACCUCUUUUUACAUAAACACUUAUGAAUUGAGCCAGGAGGAAAAGCACUCUGAUUAUGAAUUGAGCAGAAGGAAACAAAGUUCUGCAGAUAAACACCAAUGAAACAAAAAACCACGAAUAAGAAAAAUGACAGAAAAGGAGAACCUUCCCAGAAGCCUCCUGCCAGUGAACGGUCACCAGAGCAAGAGCAUGGAGGCCCUGGGUUUUGAACUGUGAGAUAAGGAAGAUGAUGAAAACCUCCCUAGCAGCCAGGCGCAGGAAUGAGAUGCAGCAGCUGGGGAAGCCAGGGUCUCUGGCAGUCCUUGUCUCUGGGCAGUGAUCCAGAGAGAGAACACGAUUGUCUCAGCACUGGAUCUUCUUCUGAGUCGUUUUGAAGGAGCAAUUGCAGAGCGUCUCGGUGUUAAACAUCAUGUUGUGAAUGACUCCGUGAUCUCUGACCCAGUGUCCUUGGGGAUAAAGGAGGGGAG
rnacentral:lncRNA from 1 species